GAAAAAGGUAAGGCACAACUUGGAAGACCCAAUAGUUUUCUAACUUCGCUUCUGGUGAAGCAACAGAGUUGGAACAAGCAGAUAUAUUAUAAUUGGGUCACCGGAAAGCCAAAAAGGUAACGCACAACUUGGAAGACCCAAUAGUUUUCUUACUUCGCUUCUGGUGAAGCAACGGAGUUGGAACAAGCAGAUAUAUUAUAAUUGGGUCACCGGAAAACGAAAGAGGUAACGCACAACUUGGAAGACCCAAUAGUUUUCUGACUUCGCUUCUGGUGAAGCAACGGAGUUGGAACAAGCAGAUAUAUUAUAAUUGGGUCACCGGAAAGCCAAAAAGGUAACGCACAACUUGGAAGACCCAAUAGUUUUCUAACUUCGCUUCUGGUGAAGCAACUGAGUUGGAACAAGCAGAUAUAUUAUAAUUAUGUCACCGGAAAACGAAAAAGGUAACGCACAACUUGGAAGAGCCUAUAGUUUCCUAACUUCGCUUCUGGUGAAGCAACGGAGUUGGAACAAGUAGAUAUGUUAUAAUUGUGUCGUCGGAAAGCGAAAAAGGUAACGCACAUCUUGGAAGAGCCUAUAGUUUCCUAACUUCGCUUCUGGUGAAGCAACUGAGUUGGAACAAGCAGAUAUAUUAUAAUUGGGUCACCGGAAAGCGAAAAAGUUAACACAGGGCUUGGAAGAACCUAUAGUUCUCUAAUUUCGUUUCCAGUGAAGCUACGCAGUUGAAAC